GUGAAUUAAACAUGCUUGGUGUCUUCGCUUCGGCAAGGCCCUUGCUUAAAUCACAUCCUAACACCUGUGAACUGUAAGACGUAUGAUGAGGUCUUUGGCCAAGUCAUCGUCUGCCCAUUUUUAACAAACAGUUAAUGUAACAAACGUAGUCUUAUUAUAACCUAAUA
rnacentral:misc_RNA from 1 species